rfam:Otolemur garnettii contig012492, whole genome shotgun sequence.
CUUCGUGGGCGGAGCGCGGCCCCACCCCCACCCCCCGAAGCCUUCUCCAUGGCCCAGGUCUGGGUGCCGAGCUCCCACAGCAUCAAGCAGGAAGCUGCGGCUCCGUAGAGUUCGGACCGCUCUCUGCGGGUACUGAGUAAGCCUUUCCCGGCCCACAGCCAGAACCGACCCCUAGCCGAGGACGUCCGCGAGAG